rnacentral:rRNA from 1 species
UACGGAGGGAGCUAGCGUUGUUCGGAAUUACUGGGCGUAAAGCGCACGUAGGCGGCUUUGUAAGUUAGAGGUGAAAGCCCGGGGCUCAACUCCGGAACUGCCUUUAAGACUGCAUCGCUUGAAUCCAGGAGAGGUGAGUGGAAUUCCGAGUGUAGAGGUGAAAUUCGUAGAGAUCCGGAAGAACACCGGUGGCGAAGGCGGCCUGCUGGGCAGUUUAGCUGACACUGAGGCGCGACAGCGUGGGGAGCAAACAGG